GAUGAACGCUGGCGGCGCGCCUAAUACAUGCAAGUCGUACGGAAAGGCCCUUCGGGGUACUCGAGUGGCGGACGGCUGAGUAACGCGUGGGAACGUGCCCCAAAGUGAGGGAUAACGCACCGAAAGGUGUACUAAUACCGCAUAUGGUCUUCGGAUCAAAGCUUCGGCGCUUUGGGAGCGGCCCGCGUACGAUUAGAUAGUUGGUGAGGUAAUGGCUCACCAAGUCGACGAUCGUCAGCUGGUCUGAGAGGAUGAUCAGCCAGACUGGGACUGAGACACGGCCCAGACUCCUACGGGAGGCAGCAGUAAGGAAUCUUCCACAAUGGGGGCAACCCUGAUGGAGCAACGCCGCGUGCAGGAUGAAGGUUUUCGGAUCGUAAACUGCUUUUAUAAGUGAAGAAUAUGACGGUAACUUAUGAAUAAGGAUCGGCUAACUACGUGCCAGCCGCCGCGGUAA
rnacentral:rRNA from 1 species